GUUGUUUAUUAUUCGAAGAAGUUUCGUCCGUCAUUUUCCUAUAUACUUGACCCCCGCGUGGUCGUGUCUCUUAGCGUGACAUAAAUAUUGAAUUACAUGUUUUCUACAUAGAUAGCAUUACACUGGCAGUCAAGAGCGAUCAUGGUUUCAAACAUGUCGUUACAAAGUUACAAUUCUAUUUUAUUAAAUAAACGAAACAAGCCCAAAAUAUAAAUGUGGUAGUAAUGUGAUAUAAAAGUUUAGGAAUAAUUCAUAUGUGAAAUAAAAGGUCCAAAAAUUUGGUUGCGUGCAUAUCAGCUGCGGGAAACAGAAGAAUUAAAAGAGUACAAUUGAAUUUCCUCGGAGUAACAGCAAAAUAACUCAACUUUUUGAAAUUGUACAGAAGCAAUAAUAAACGUUUAUCGGUUUUAUUUGAUUGUCGCACCGAAAUUUGUUCAUCGACAUAAUAUCAUAGUAGUAGAUUUUUCAGAUUGUUACCUCAACUUCUAAAACAAGAUAACUUCAAAUCCAUUCAAACCCGGAUAUAUAUAGUUAUAUAUUAUAGUAUAUAUCAGAUUUUUCGGAUUGUUAUACCAAUCGAUACAGAAUUGUUUUUUAUUAAAUUAGGCCGUCAAAAAGGACGUUAUUCAAAAAGUGUAGUUAUAUGGUUGUUGCAUCGUGGUCAUUUAUUUGUAAAAGACUGUGGUAUAAAAAAAAAAAAAAAAAAAAAUGUGCAGAAAAAGAGCGGCUGGGACGAAGAGGGGUUUAACAAGAAAAUAGAGACAGUAUAAGGUAGGAGAAUCAAUUUUUCUGGAAAGGAGAUCGGUGAAGAAUAUUAGAAAGUUAGCAAAGUGUGCUGGCGGUCAGCAAGACUGGAUAGGCGUAAGACACGGAUAAUGGGAAUAGAGUAGUCAUUACGAGGAGAAUAAGCAAUAUUGAAUCUGGAGAUGACCAGAAGACUCGUUUUUAUUGAAAUAACUAAUAUACCUCGUAAUUGUUUAAGUCGGUUAAAUUUUUUGCGAUUUUUAUACAGUUCGCUCACAGAAUUAGUAUAUGAUUUGAUCGGUUUGCUGUACAAAAUUAUUUCCAUAAUAUUAUUAUUAGAAUUUUAGUCGGUUCUCCACUUUGAAGCUCUGUUGUAAUAUAAUAUAAUAUAAAAUCGUUGUUCUGACCACUAACGUUUUACACACCGCGGAAAGUAGUGGGAAGCGCUGCGUAUCGUUAUAAUAAUACUCACUCACAAUAUAUGAAAAUGUCAUAGGUGACAAAUGUACCACCAAAACCAAAACCGUAUACGUGGUUAUUGGUAUGAACCACUGAAACGC